rnacentral:rRNA from 1 species
GAUGAACGCUGGCGGCGUGCCUAAUACAUGCAAGUCGAGCGAACGGACGAGAAGCUUGCUUCUCUGAUGUUAGCGGCGGACGGGUGAGUAAGACGUGGAUAACCUACCUAUAAGACUGGGAUAACUUCGGGAAACCGGAGCUAAUACCGGAUAAUAUUUUGAACCGCAUGGUUCAAAAGUGAAAGACGGUCUUGCUGUCACUUAUAGAUGGAUCCGCGCUGCAUUAGCUAGUUGGUAAGGUAACGGCUUACCAAGGCAACGAUGCAUAGCCGACCUGAGAGGGUGAUCGGCCACACUGGAACUGAGACACGGUCCAGACUCCUACGGGAGGCAGCAGUAGGGAAUCUUCCGCAAUGGGCGAAAGCCUGACGGAGUAACGCCGCGUGAGUGAUGAAGGUCUUCGGAUCGUAAAACUCUGUUAUUAGGGAAGAACAUAUGUGUAAGUAACUGUGCACAUCUUGACGGUACCUAAUCAGAAAGCCACGGCUAACUACGUG